AAGGCAAAAAGAAAGGAGAGAAUCCCAAGCAAGCUUCGCGCUGUCAGCCCAGGGCCCUAUGAAUCAAACCGCGAGAUCAUGACCUGAGUCAAAAUCAAGAGUUGGACACUUAAACCAACUGAGCCACCCAGGUGGCCCAGAAUUCAGAUGAGUUUUACAUAAAUGUUACCUUUAUAUUCACCAGGACUACCUGUAUGACCUUGAGCAAAUUAUUUAAUUUUUCUGUACUUGUUUUCUCAUCUGUAAAACAAGAGGUAAAAAUAACCCCUAACUCAUAGGUUCAUUGUGAAGAUUACAUGAGUUGAUACACAUAGGAUGACUGGCACCAUAAUAAUAAUUAGGUGGCACUGAGCUGCCAGCUACUGAAGUCCCAGAAGUUGAAGGAGAGGUGUGGGUUCCGGUUAUAAAAUGAAAGCCCCGAAGAAGACCAGAAAGGGAGGUUGUACUUUUGUUCUGUUUAGUUUGGUGGAUAUUUGUAUUACUAGAUGCUGAUAGCUACUAAAAUGAACAGAAAAGGCAGAGAGGAUUAUUUUUCAGCCCUUACAAGCCUUCUAAAAAGUUGUCUCUAACUUCCUGAGUCAUCAAAUACCAUGCACUGUCUUUUCUUGACAACCUUGUUAUUUUUUCCACUAUUCCCUUAGGGGACGUUGGGCAAAUCAUGUCACUUUCCAGAGCCUCACUUGCAAUUCUGUCAAACAAGGACAAACAAGUGAGAAUCAAGCAAAAUAAGGUAUAUGGGAGUCCUUUGAAAAUGAGAAACAUUGUAUGAAUGUUAUGGAGGAAGACAUUUUAUGAUUUAUUAAAUACACAAGCACAAACAUCUCUUUAAGGUUGGAAAUGCUCCCAUAGGAGGCAUUAAAGCCUCGAGAGAGACAAGACCUAUGGAGAUAGUCAAAAGGAUGAAGACUAUGUAUCGUGAAGGCAGAUAGACCAGAAGGCUGGAGAGUGACUUAACAACAGUGCUUACCUACAGAAAAGGUUAGACAGGAUUAUGGUCAACUCUUUCCAUCUUCACUGAUGACAGAAUACAAGAAAAUGGGCGUCAACAAGAGGGAUUUAGAUUAGCCAUAAAGACUUUUUCUCUGCUGGUGAGGAUUUUCAAAGAUUGAAUGCCUGGCUCAAUCUGCUUGGGGUUUCUUCCCCGAAGGUCCAUAGAUUUGGUAUGCAGUAAGGACAUGAGAAUCAGCACUCAGGGGGCAGAUCAGAGGUUUUCUAGGACUGAGGAGCUCCGCGUGGGAAAGGAAAGGGAACCAACCUCCCAUUCCCAAAAAGAUCCCCUAUGUUCCCAAACUGCCAUGUCCACAUCCACACUUUUCUUGAACAAACUUAAAUUUUGAGAUUUGUCAAUUUACUGAUUCAUGGCCAUCCUCUAUCUAAAUUAGCAUUCUUGCUUAUUAAAGGAUUGUUGCAUUUACAGGUUAGGGGCACAGACAUGGAAGUGGAAAAUUCUAUGUUCCCAUCCUGAUUUUGCCCCCUUCCAGUUGUGCUGCCCUGGUUAAUUAGUUGAUUGCUUUACAUUGAUUUCCUUAUCUGUAAAAUGGAGAUAAUAAAGGUUCUUACCUUAAGGGGACUGUCAGCAUACUUGGCACAGAGCAAAUGCCCCAAAGUGGUGGCCAAUAUUAUGCUAAAGCGACCUUGACAUAGUUUCAAAGAGGUGCCUCUUAGAUCUUGCACUUGGAGAUUUGUUUGUUCUAUUAGCUCAGCGUUUUAGACUCACCCACUUUCUAGUCUGCAGUGUCUUCUUUUUUAUCUAAAAAAAAAAUGUAUUCUCACUAGAAAAUACAUCUCUUUCCCUGUUUACUCUAGUUGCAAUUCUCUGAACUUUCUCAAACUCCAUUACAUCUGCCUUGAAGGGAAGUGACCUGGAAUUGUCCAAGCGAUGUCCUCCCCAAAGACAGAAGGAUGGAUUGAAUAAUUUAUUAAGAAAACAAUUCUGCUUUCCCUGUGGUAGUAAGACCUCUACCUGAGAAGACCUAGGACUGAGAAAUCUGCUCUGCCUGGCCUGCUGACUUCCAAAUCAACCUCUCCUGCCCAGACACAUGAGCCAAGACUACUUCUGUAUUUCUGAGCAUCUUCAACUCCCUUCCAUUUAUCAAUCUUCCCUGUCUGCACCUGCCACUCAAAGCCUGCUAAAUGGGAAUUGGAGAAUCUGCUUCCCAGACCCUUCACCUCCUCCAAUUUCACAUCCAAAUAGACUCCCUUCUUAACUUCCCCACUGGUAAUUAAGACCAGAUUCAACCUGCAAAUUAAGGCCCUCCAUUCACCAAGUCCUGUUGAUUUUACAUCCUACCUGCCUUCUGUGCAAUUGGAAUAAUAGCCGUACUCCCUUCCCUGUGUUGUGGAGAUCAGAUAAGGCUACCUUUAGGCAGCAGCCAGAAGAGGCCACCCCUGUGCCAGAAUCACGCCUCUCCCAGCAGCCAUCCAGGGGGAUCCCAGAACACGUAUAGCUCCUGUCAAGAUCCCUCAGUCCCUCCCAAUCUGCCAUGUGAACAUCAGGGCUGACCUCACCAUGUCCCCUAUCCUCACUGAUGUCCCUCCCCAUGAGACCCCCAGGUGACCUCUCAUCCCUGGGAGUCUAAUGCCCACCCUAUUUCCUGACCUCAUCUGGCAUUCCUCCCUAUCUCCGGCCCUCUGGAACUUGGGUCAGUCAUCGGCAGAAUCUUCCUUUCAUUCUAUCUCCUCGGAGUAUUCCUUUCACCUCCCUAACUGAAACUUGGCUCUGUCCCCUAGGGACACUGCUUCCCCUGCAGCCUCUGCAGUGGUGGUUGGAUCUCUUCCAUGGGGCUGGAGGUGGGAUGGAGCUCUUUUUGCUCCUUGUUGCUACCUCUAGACCAGGCUCCAGUCAUUGUUACCACAUUUUGAUUAUUUUGAUAUCUGUCUCACCUUCACUUUCCCCAGAAUCAUCCCGUCUUGAGUCUUGCCAUCUCAAAGGACACACAGAUCAGCUUUCCAACACGCUGAUUUCUCCUCCAAUAACCCUGUCCUCCACCUACCGGACCUCCAUUGCUCACCCCCACGGCCUUACCUUAGACAAGCACUGGCCAAAGGAACUUCGGGAGCUCAUGAUGGAAAUGUUUAAUCUACUCUGUCCUGUUGGCAUACCCUUAGUCACAAGUGGUUGGUUGCUAAACACCUGAAAUGUGACUAGUGCAACAGAAGGAAACAGGUUAUAAAUUUUAUUUAAUGUUUAACUAAUUUAAAUGUGAAGCAUCUAUCUAUGCUUGUAUUCUCCUAGUGCUGUCCUGCUUCUAUAGCUGAACUUAGCUCUAUGUUAAGAUCAACUCACUUCCAGCGUCUUAGAGCCCACCCCUCUCACUACUAAAUUCUCCCCCCUUUCUUCAUCAGUUUCUCGGUCUCCACAAGGUCAUUUCCAUCAGCCUACACACAUGCUGUUGUCUCUCCUGUCUUAAGAAAAACCUCCCUUGACCCCAGCUCCCCAUCUUGCACUGCUGUAUUCCCCUCAUUCUCUAAAGCAAAACUCCCAGAGAGAAUGGUCUACACUCACAGAAUCAACUUCUCUCCUCCUAUUAUUGCUUGAAUCUCCACUCAGAAACUGCUCUUGACAUAGUACUCAUGACCCCGUAUUGAUAAAUCCAUUAAUUAUUUCCCAACCCUCAUCUAACUUGAUCUAUCAGCAGCAUUGUACGGCUUCUUGACUCUCUUCUCCUUGGAACACUUUCUUCACUUGGCUUUCAGGACAGCACGCUUGCCUGGUCUUUCUCCCGCCUUUCCGGCUGCUCCAUCUUUCUGUCCUGUAAUAGCUUCUUCUUCUUCUUCUUCAAUUCUACAACCUCUGAAUGUCAGCAGGCCCAGUGGUUAGUCCUGGGACCCUUUCAUUUUUCUACCUAUUCGCUCCUUAGCCGAUCUCACCCAGUCUCAUGGCUUUAAACAUCACCUACAUGCUGAUCAUUCCUGCAUUUUUAUAUCUCCAAUGCAGACCACUCCUCUGAAGUCCAGCCCAAAUUAUCCAGCUGCCAACUUGACAUCUCUAAUCUAACAGGUCCCAAACUGAACUCCCAAUGUCUACCUCCCUGCAAAAAUAGCUUGCUCCUCCCACAAUCUUCUCCAUGUCAGUUAAGGCCAAUUCCAUUUUUUUUCCAGCUGCUCAGCCAAAACCAUUAGAAAUACCCUUGGUGUCUCUCUCUCAAUCGUGUACAUACACACACACACACACACACACACACACACACACUAUAUCUGAUCCAUUAGCAAAUUUUAUAGACUUUGUGUAUCUUCAACUGUAAUCGGAAACUGAUCACUUCUCAUCACCUGCAUUGCAACCACUGUGUUUGGAGCCACCAUCGUCUCUCUCCUGGAUUACAGCACUAGUGGUUUCUCUGAUCCUGCCCUUGUUUCUGCAAUCUAGUCUCAAAAAUCAGAAAAAAUUCAAGUUACAUCAUGUCACUCUUCUGCUCAGCAUGUUCCAGUGACAGUCACUUGGAGUAAAAACCAAAGUUCUUAUCAUGGCUUUCAAGGUCCCAUGAGACUGGGACCCUAUUAUUGCUUUUACCACUUUCGUAAUUUCUCUUCCCCUCCUUCACCUGAGACUGGCCAAACCAACCUUCCCACUGCUACUGGAACUUAUCACGUAUGCUCCUGCCUCCGGGACUUUGCACCUGCUAUUCUCUCUGCAUGGAAGACUCUUCCCUAGAUGCCUUUGUGGCUAGGUCCCUCAUUCCUUUAGGUCUAUUCAAAUCUCACCUUUUAUUGAGGUCUUUAUGGACUCUGCUAUCUAAGAUUUUUACACCCCUCCUCAACACUGCAUUUUCCCUUUUCCUGCAUUAUUUUUUCCCUUUAGCUCUUAGCACUAUCUAACUAACUAAAUUUUUUAAUUUAGCUUUUUUAUUGUCUGUCUCCCCAAGUAGAAUAUAAGCUCUAUGAGGGCAAGGAUUUUUGUUGGUUUUAUUCACUGCUAUCUCUGGAUCUGUGUCUGUGAUAUAGCAGAAACUCAGCUAUUUAUUGAACGAAUUAAUAAAAUAAUUCCCAUCACUUCCUUAGAACAGUGCCUAGCAUAUAGUAAUUGUUUUAUGAAUCUCAGUUGGUAUUUUUUUAUUUCUUUUACUAUCAUCUUCUCCAUCACUACUCGAUUGGGGCGUCCUUCCAUCCCUGCAGCAGUUUGCAAGCUUCAGACUCUCGCCCUCUCCGGCCUUGACUAUCUCUCUGGUCUCAUAAGUUGUCUUCUAGCCGCUGGUCUUGCCUCGUGGAGACCUACCCACUGCUUCCAUAGUUUGCUUCUCGAAAACAAAUUUGAUUCUUUCAUUCCUCCUAUGGUCUCUGAAAGCUCAGUUCUCACUGUUUCCAUGAAGCCUUGCUGUCCACUCCAAAAAACACCGGGUCCCCUUCUCAACUCCAAUGGCACUCACUGUUGAUGCCAAGCAAAUUCAACACUUGUCAGUAUACUGAGCUAUCAUUUCAAUUCAAUCUGCUGGGCUAUAAUAUAGUGCGCUGUUAUUUAGUAGUUUCAUGAGGAUUCAUUGUUUCUCCUCAAUUCAUUUCUACUCCCCAGAACAAUGUAAUACUGCUUUUGUAUAGUGCUUUAGCAACAAAGAAUUGGGCUAGAAAGAGUAUUGUAUGAGCCCCUAUGUCUCCAUCCACAGCAUGGAAGGCUUAAUAAAGAGUAGGUUCAUCCUGUUACACGCUAGCUGAAUUUUCAGUACUUACAGCCCACAUAACAGACAGCACAGAGGCUUCAGGGCCAGACUAGUUCUGUCGCUUUAUGACCCGAAUGAGAGACUUGUUUAUGGAGCCUAUUGCUUCACUUGCGCAAAUCGAGAAAAUACCUAAAACACAUGGGUAUGUGAGCAUUAAAAGUACUCAUAAGUAGGGGCACCUCGCUGGCUCAGUUGGUAAACCAUUGAACUCUUGAUCUCAGGGUUGUGAGUUCAAAUCCCACGUUGGGUGUAGAGAUUACUUAAAAAUAAAAUCGUUUUUUUUUUUUAAAGUACUCAUAAAUAAAGCCCAAAGUACUCAACAUGA